CCAAUGAAGAGUUGCUGCGCGCAAAUGCCUUGCUGGAGAAGGAAGCUGCCCGGCAAAGUCGUGACUGGAAAAAACGCCUGCUGGAUUGCCGCAGCUUAAAGGAGCACGCCGAAGAGUGCGCAUAUGAACAGGAGCAGCGGCAUAGCGCAC
rnacentral:lncRNA from 1 species